AUAUAUUUCCCUCCCCACCCUAUCUGCCUUCCGGAGGGACCACUCUCUCCAUGACUCCCUUGUCUACUCCACACUCCCCACUAGCCCCACCACACCCAGUUCCCAAGUGCAGUCUCCUUGGCAAGGCCUGUAUUGCAGUCAACUUGCCAAUCAAGUGUUAUUUAUUUAUGCAGUACAAAUUGUUGCAUCCUUCAAAAUUUGGAAUUCUUGCAUCUGUCCUGAUGAAUGUAAUUCUAAAGCUUUGACACCAUGUCACUUUUCACAGUAUUGUUCAUGUAAGUUUUAUUUUGCAAACUCCACUUGAAUAUAUUGACGCCUGUAGGAAAGCUAUUUACUUGAAGUUGUCCACUUCAAUAACCCCCAGUUAUUACCUACCCACACAAGAACUGACACCUCCUCAAACUCCAUUUAAUUUUUGCAGAUUAAUUCCUAUCUAGACCAAGGAAUAAUGAGCCCCCUGCAAAUGACCUUUGUAAAUGGUAUUGGAGAAGAAAAGCAGGCCCCCAGUGCUUAAGUCAGAUCCAGUGGAAGCAUUCAACUAGAGAAAGAUGGAGAUAGCAAGAGAAAAAUCAAUAGCUCAUGACAAAUUUGUUCGCUGUAUUGUUGGCACCUGGUGGGAAUCUGCUUACUGACUUGGGGAGAGAGAAAGAGAAGCUAAAGAUAGAACAAGGCAAGAGCUAGGAUGGACUUCGCCCAAAUCUCAGUGCAGGGUGUGGUCUUGAAGGGGGAAUUACUGAGAUUUCUGAACAUUCUGGAUCAACUGAAGAUGAUGGCCACUUAAGUCAAUGGAAUCGGUAAUAAACAUAGGACGUUUCUGGUAUGGGCCAAAGACCAUGGCUGUUGUUCAGCUGUGGAAAAAUUUUGGCUCAACGAGUACUGCACGUCAGAUCAGCAGCAGUGGAGGAAUUGAGAGAGGUGUUUGUUUGAAAUAGCUGGGUGUCUCUUGUGUACAUGAGGAAACGGAUGCCAUGUCUCAGUAAGGUCACCAAGAGGUAGCACAUGGACGAGAAUUAGCAAAAGGAGACAUUUGUCAGGGCUUGGGAGAGAGUCCAGCUUAUGUUCUUCUCUAUCUAAGCUGGAUAUGUAGGAGUGGCACUCGAUGACAGCAUAUCCAAUUUACUGGAUGAGGAAGGAGAGGGUGUUAUUCUCGGCAAUUGUAAAGUAAUUUUAUGUCUAGUUCUUUAAGUCUAGGAUUACAAAACUGACUAUGAGUCUCGAUAGUUUCUAAACAUAAUUCAUUGAUUGAAUUUUAUUAUUUAUUAAUGAGAUGGAUAUAGUUCUUGGAGCUAAACAGAUCAAAGGGUAGGGGGCUAAAGAGGGAACAGGGUACAGAGUAUGAUGAUCAGCCAUGAUCAUAUUAAUAGAACAGGCUCAAGGGGAUGAAUAGUCUACCCUAUUCCUAUUUUCUAUGAUUCCUAGACUAUGUGACUUGUAGUAUCGUGGCUGUAAGUUAUCUUUACUUACAAUUACACUACAUGGGAUCAAUCCAUAGUGCAUGUAGUCAGUUGGUUAAUCAAGCUGAUACUUCUGUUUUCCCUUUGUUCCUUUUCCUCGUUGGUAAGGGAUGGCAAUGAGCAUUCUUGUGCUCCUGGCUUUUUACUUUCAGUUGGUUGUGCUGGGAAGUCCUUUGUAAUCAAGACGGUGCUAGUUAGGGAAGCACACAUUGGCUAUCAGGGGAUUGGACCAUGCUCCGUCUUGGAGGUCAAGUGCAUACAGUCUGUGCAUCACAUGUUCUGCGUGGGGCUCAAGCGGAUGCCUUGUUUCUGACAGUCCUCAGAGCGUAACAGAUCUCAAGAGUUUCUUGCUCCGUGAGCUGCGGACACCUGUCAAUGAUGUUCUACUUCGAGUAUCCACCAAGGGUGAUAGCUCUGAGCUGGUGGAGGAUGCACACAAAAGCAUUGCAGGUGCAUCCUCUGACAGUUCACAAGCUUCCUCCUCAGAGGUGAAGAUGUGGCUGAGGGGCUCAACCUAUGGCCUUAACCUCACAGAGAUUCCCUCGGUACCAGUUUUGCAUGUAUAAGAGGAGAAGGACCGACUGGGAGAAAAUGGAUAAAAGCUUAUGCAGAACAAGAAUGAGUUAGCACUGGUGGUAAUCGGAGAACAGUACAGAACACUGGAGCUUAUUCAUCAUCACCGGAGCAGUCCUUGUUUAAUCCGCCCAACUCAAUCUUCUCCUGAAAAGGGAAUGUGAUGAGCUUGAUGUCUGACACCGACCUUUCCAACGCUGUGACCUGAAAUGGUGUCUACAUGGGCAGCAGAGCCUGGAAUCUGGAAGAUGCUGGCAGCGGAAGGCCGUGCAAAAUCACCAAGUCACACAUCCAACAUCUCACUUGCAUUAGUAAUGAGCUGGGAAGUACUAAAUAGAUUAAUCUACCUCAUCCCAGGUCAUGGCAGACAGUACACUAUGAAACUUUAUUAUCGCUACAAUUCAGCUUCAAAUGGGAAAAUCCCAAGCUAAGAUUCAUAAACACUGAACUUGGAGAGGGACUAAAAGGAUGUGAGUUGACAGCAAGACAGCUGAAACCAAGGAAGCAGUUUAGUUUGGUUGGCAACGGGAAAUCAGAAGCAUCUAUACAGAUGCUCUUAAACUUAUAGCUUUUCACUCCUGAUCUUCAAGAUAAGAACUGAGAAGGAAAGGGAGAGGGGUUUCAAGAUAUGGCUUGUUACAGAUAAUAGAAGCUGGGGUUAUUUUUGCAUUCCAGGAUGAUUCUGAAGGAAUGAGCUGCUUGGCAGAGACCUGUCAACUCAGAUAGUGCCUGAUAUGGCCAACCAAACCUGGUGAUAUAUAUUGUACACAACUGGCUUAACCAUUCAAAUGAAGACAUAGGGCCACACCAGGGAGAAUAAUCAUGGUGAGGGAGAGGAAAGCUUUUACGGAGAUGAGCAUCAGUGGUGGAAUAAUUGUGUGACUGAGCAGCUACAGAAAUGUUGUGAUAAAGACUAAAAAUCUUUGAAAUUUGAAACUAUAUUGGAAGCAGCUUGGAGAAGAGAUUUUUUUACAGAUGGGCCAGUUGAGGAAGAAAAUACUGUAUUCUAUAAUUCAGCAUCUUGUUAUAUCAUUGUCUUUGGUGCAUUAAUUAAUCUGUAAAUUUUUUUUAUGGGGAAAAAAAUUUUCUGUAAGAGAAUUUAUUCACAAAUUAAUUAAUGCACCAAAGCCAAUGAUACAACAAGAUACUGAAUUUUGUACUUUAUGGUAUGGGUUUAUUCUGCAAGAAACCGAAAAGAACACGUUAGGUACUGUGCAUGACUUCUUGUAAACACCACACCACAGUAAGUGGUUGAAUAUUAAAUUUCAGCACAAUAAGUCAAACGAACCUUAACAAACUUAUAAAACAGCCUUUUAGCCAUGAACACGAGAAUAGUAUGUCGCGAGAGACACAUCCUAAAUUCCCAUUUUUAAAAAAAUUCUUGAUCAGAUUUGCAACAAAGAUGGAAAGAUUAUUUGUUUCAUCAUCAAGCAGAUUUAAUUUGUGAAGGUGACAUUCACUUUCAUAAAAGACAGACCGUACCAUAAUAGUUGUCACAGAAGAAUUUUGAAUGCUGAACAGCAGGAGUAAAUUGGUUUCUGUUGAUGUUAAAUGGCUUUCCAGCUCCCACCUAAAAGAUAAUAGAGGAACUGAUUAAAACAUAUAAGGAGGAAAAAGAAAUUUAAAAGGUAAGCAAUAUCGACAAAAGUAGAGAAAACAAAGAUAUUCAAGUCAACAAAUGAAAAGUAAGCAGUCCUUUCAUCCUUUCAUUUCUCUGUUUUUUGUUUCCUAUUUAUUUUUUAAUGACAGAUGCAAUAUAAAAGUUAAAACUCCUAAACAUACCCAUUAUGCUCGAAUGUAUUUUUGCCAAUCAUAUAAACAUCAAAUUGGAGUUUGCUAGUACACACCUGUUUGGUUGAGCACAGUACUAAGUGGGGGGAGUUGGUUAGCUCAGUUGGUUGGACAGCCAGUUUGCAAUGUACAGUAUCAGUGCCUGAGGUUACCAUGUCAUCUUCUCAACCUUGCCCUGCGCCUGAGGCAUGACAAUCUUCAAGUUAAAUUCAUCACAGUCAUCUCUGUCUAAUGAGAAAACAGUCCUAUCAUUCUCUGGGACUAUAGUAAUGUUACUUUUACCUAGUUAGCAAUUAGCUAUGGCUGAUCAAUGAGAAGGAGGUUUGAUUUUUGAGAAGAUGUUAUUGCCUUAGACAUUUUUCCCUCUUGUCAAACGGUAUUGUUUAUGGAACAAAUGAAAAUCCAUAAGGAAAACUGACAAUUUGAUAAACCUCUAGCUAACUUUUUUUUCAGUAACUACACAGGUAUUAUAUUUAAUAGACAAAAUAUUAAGUAUGAUGUUAAUGUGUGAAAAUUAAUUAUCAUUUUUAGUUCCAUUGAUGACUAUGAUUGUGAAGAAUUCAGGUAAGACCUUAUCAUUUCUCUUCAAUUUACUUACUUGAGAACAAGGUAAAUGAAGCGUGAAGCCAUAUAUCUCAUCAACGUGCCAUCCACCAUCAGCACCAUCUUACUGGUAUGAAGCAAUUUUUAAAUCAGUGAAAAUCAGUUUAUUUGUGAAGUCUCAAAUACAAUCAAGAAAACGGAGAAACUGUGCCUGUGAAUAUGGAGCAUUUCCAGAUCAAUACUUGGAUCAAGAAAAUUGAACUAAUUAAUCCUAAAGGCACAGCUAUGUGGAUAUCUUUACCAGUGCUGCCAACUUAAUCCUCUACAGGAUGUUCAGGACACCAUGAUAUUUAAAGACAGGAGAUUUCCAUACACUUAAAUUUAAUAAAUGGUUAUAGUAUGCCAUCCACCAUGACCAAUCUUAAUGAAGUAUCCUUCCCUUCACCUUGCUGUCAAGCCUUGGGAUUUCCACAAAAACUUUAAGGAAAUCCAUCACAGCUGUAUUACUUAAAGCUGGAAUACUUCCAGCCAUUCCUGAACAACUAACUGGAGAGCAAUUAUUAAGGUUGAUCAGCAGAGUAGUGACCAUUACUAUUCUUACGAUCUGUGGAUUUGUGUUAAUUAUCCCUGAAUUAUUACUGAAGUCGAGCAUCUUUGUAGUUUGAUCCACUUGAAUCAGCUUAAGGUAAUGUUUUCACUUUCAAAAAUACGAGGAAAAAGUACUCCGGUUUUGCCUGCUUGACCUGAUAGUAUAAAUACAUCUACCAUUGAGGAUGUGGAUAAAGUAGCCUCAUGCUGACAUAGUAUUUUGUGGAUAUUAAUUUUGGCAUCUUCCCUCCUCAACCAUUUUAGAGUGAGUGAGGAGUUCAAGGGACUUGUCCAAAAUAUCUAAAGCAGAUGUGACAUGGCUAUCAAUUGCUGUAAAAAGAGAGAAAAAGUCUUCAGUACAAUUUUUUUUUGAGUGGAAGCUUAGAAAGCUUCCAUAGUUUAUCUUGCCAAGGCCUUGAAUAUAUAAAUCGACUGGUUAAAUUGGAUGCAAGAAGUUUCCCUUCAGUUAUAUUUAAUCACCCAAAGAUUAAUUUAUUUGCUUGAGGGUCUUAUUUUUAAAAAAUGAGAUAGUUGUAAUGAGUCAGUUAUUUUUAAACUUUUGCUAGGUGUCCAAACAAAAAUAUCUAAAGUAUAUUCAUUAGAAUGACACUUAGACACCUGGAAUCUAGAAGUUUUUUGGAAUAUUUUAAUUUUGAAAAAAAUCUUGGAUUCUUGAUUGUUGAAGCAAUUUUUAAGAAGUCACUUUCAAAGAUUUGUUUCAAAUUUUGUAAUGAGAUAGGAACAUCAUUAGCAAGACCAGCAUUUAUUACCUGAAACUAAUUGAUCUUGAAAAGGUGAUGGUGAGCCACAUUCUUCAGCCAUGUGGUGUAGAUACUUCCACACUGCUGUUAGUCAAGUUCAAAUUGUUUGUAGUAUAUCUGAACUUCUAAAAUAUAAAGUGGCAAAAUAAUGUUAAUCUUACAUUUUGUUGCAUGGUGAACUUGUUAUCAAACCAAUGAAAUAUAAUGUUUUGUGUUUUUUUUUUAAAUUAUAUAAUUCACAAUUUUGUAGUUGAAAACAAAUUGGUACAUCUCCUGAACGAUUGUGUUGGCAAUCCCAGAAUACUAACAUUCUUGUCCUUGACCUUUCCAGUAAACUAUCCCACCAGCCAGUCCUGCUUUUCCUGAGGGAUCCAUUCAUCUUACCCACAGCCACCGAAUUGAAGGAAAUGUUCCAGUGUUUUCGUGGCCAUAACUGAAUUCAAUCAUCAAGAUGCAUCCAGAUCAAAGUAUAUAACUGCUUCAAUAAAACACAGAAGUGCGGAUGCGGGAGAUAUGAAACAAAAACAAGUUGCUGGCGAAACUCAGCAGAUCCUGCUUGGCUCGCUGAAUCUCAAGUGAUUUCUGCUUUUGUUACAUAACCACUUUUGUCUGACUGACUCAGACUUGUUUGCUUUGCUGAUUUAGUUGUGUUGCCAAUACUCUGUUUUGUUGAUUACUUCAGUUGUUGUCCCGAGGAAACAUCCCAUAGUCUCACCAGUACAUCAAAAUAAAGAGAACUCAACUAUAGCUUUUGUUUUGACAGUAAUAAUGUUAACUAUAGCCCUGACCUUCCUUUCUCUUGUGAUCUCUUAGAUGACUCCCCAAAUGUAGUUAUUGAAGGUGUUCUACAUGGAAUAUACUAUCCAUACCUUCAAUUGAGGUAGAACAACAUCUACUGCAAAAAAGGCAUUUCAAGAUAUGCAACCACAAGGUUAACCAGUAAUCAUCAUUAAAAGAGACACAUUUUAAUAUGCAGUCAUCAGUUCUGAUUGAUUUACCUUGACAAGUUGUACAUUUAAUGCUUAAUACAAUAAAUAUUUUUAACUUUUACAAAAGUUAUUGCAUUAACUGAUGUGUAUAUAAUAUAUAGAUAUUUAAAAAGGACUGCUCUGUAAAUGUUUAUCACUGAAUAUGUGACAUAUUACAUUGUGAACCUUGAGAGUAUGGACUUGUUAUAAUGUAAUAACCAUAUUAUUUGAAUUUUACGAUCAAAAGCAUUACUUUAUCUUUAAAUGGAGAACGUUUCUAUUUUAUUCCUUUUUUCCCCUGUUGGGAAAAUCUUAGUCAAUGCAACAAUCAAUGUUGGAAGUAAACAUUUUAGGCAGAAGUGUUUUUACAUUUAAUAUUUAUCUGUACAUCAGCGAUCAUAAAGUAUGUAAUUUUGUUAACAUUGCAUUGAAGUAAUGCAUAUCCAUUAUUUUAUAAUUUUAUGUAAUAAAUUUGAACAGCACAGCACACAAUGAA